rnacentral:rRNA from 1 species
GAACGCUGGCGGAAUGCUUUACACAUGCAAGUCGAACGGCAGCACGGGGGCAACCCUGGUGGCGAGUGGCGAACGGGUGAGUAAUAUAUCGGAACGUGCCCAGUCGUGGGGGAUAACGUAGCGAAAGUUACGCUAAUACCGCAUACGAUCUACGGAUGAAAGCGGGGGAUCGCAAGACCUCGCGCGAUUGGAGCGGCCGAUAUCAGAUUAGGUAGUUGGUGGGGUAAAGGCUCACCAAGCCAACGAUCUGUAGCUGGUCUGAGAGGACGACCAGCCACACUGGGACUGAGACACGGCCCAGACUCCUACGGGAGGCAGCAGUGGGGAAUUUUGGACAAUGGACGCAAGUCUGAUCCAGCCAUUCCGCGUGCAGGACGAAGGC